CUUUAGCUCUCAGCCUCCAGGUUGCCUGUCCAGAGAGAGGUGUGAUUUCAGAUCUAGGGUGCAAAGUCACAUGCUGUUUGUAUUCUAAUGGACUCUCCAUCCUGCUCCAUAGAGAGUAGGGUUUCUCAUUGCUAUGGAUCAUAUUUUCUCCUGGGGGAUUUUUCUCCACAUCGUAGGUGCUUACUAGUAAUCCUUCCCUCUGUUCAGUGCAUGCCAGUAACUCCCACCUUAACCCCACCCCAAGGACAAUCUGAAAGGUCUCCAUACAAUGUGCCAAAUGUCCCCUUGGGGGAAAUUCCACCUGAGGUGGAAAACCACUGAGCUGGAAGCUGUGAUCAUGUUUGGAACCUGAGUGAUCUGUCCUUGGUUUGAAAAGCUGGCAGUGUGGAAUGAAUGGUGAGACAGUGCUAACUCCUGAACCUGUUGCAACUGAGAGACCAUGGACAUCUGCCUUCCAAGCACAUCAGUGACACCCCUGGUCCUGGGAAGCAGAGUAUUGUGUGGCGAUGACUCUUCUAAGACCUCCUCUAAAGUCCUCAACAUUAGAAAACAGGUCCCUGGGACUUGCAGGCAGGGAGCUGUGGGCAGCAGCAGCUCGUCCCGGGCUCACCCCCUGAUCCUGUCUCCAAGGAACUUCUUGCGUCUUUCUCAAGAAGCAGCUCCACCCAUGCUCACUCUUGUUGCUGUGAUUGUGCCUCUUCUGUCUGAAGCCCUUUCUUUGUUUCACUGUCCUUAGAUUUAAUAUACAAACUCUCAAAAUUCCCUAGCUUUGUGUCAUGAAAUUUUGCUGCAGGAGGUCAAGAACCUACAGACAUGAGACCUUUCCAGGGCAAACCCCCCUUGGGUCCAGUCCCUUUUCAGUGACAGAAUAACCAAAUUUUGUGUUAUUUGUUUACCUGUGGAUGGAUACUUGAAUACUUUCUACCUUUCAGUUUUUAUUCACAGUGCUGUUAUAUAUAAUCAUGUAUGAGUUUGUUAUAACGUCUGUCUUCAGUUUCUCAGAUUGUAUUUCAAAGUAGUUUUUGAACACAGGAUAAUUUUUUUUGAGAAAAUGUCAAACCAUUUUAUACAAGGUCUGCAAUAUUUUACAUUUUCAAAAGAAAUGGUCAACUGUUCUAAUAUUAGUUUGUGAUCAUGAAAAUUUCUCAGUUUUGCUUUCUUAUAGCCUUUGUAGUGUCUGUGAAGGGGUAUUGUGCUGUGAUGUAGCCAUUGAACAUCUUCUCUGGUAUUUCUUUUUUACCACUUCUAUGAAUGUCUUCUCAGUAGAAGGGACCAUUCAAGUUUUUUUUUUUUAAUAUAGAUGUCUUCCUGGGUGUUAUGGCUCACUGGUUGAGCACCUACCUGUAAACCAAAGGGGUCUCUGGUUCGAUUCCCAGUCAGGGCACAUGCCUGGGUUGAGGGCCAGGUUCCCAGUAGGGGGCAUGUGAGAGGCAAUCACAGAUCGAU